AAAACUAUGAAGUUAUGGUGUACGUUGCUCUGGAAAGCCAUUUGAAUUGUCCCGGUGAAGUUCGGUGAAGUUCUGGAGCAAUCGGGCGUUUCGAUGCGCAUAGGCGCAAAAACGGAACCCGAAAGGCUAACUUGGGCCAUGAGCUAAAUCCGACAUUAGCGAGGAUGGAAAGAUGAUGAAAACAUGUUUGAAAAUAUGUUUGGAGAGUCUCGGUUCGAUUUUAAAUGAAUCGGAGGUCAAACGAACGAAAACGGGCGAAAACGGAGUGAAAACGGACGAAGCUGAAAAUUGGCUAAGUCAGGGCUGGAGGUCUCUCUGGGACCGGUCCUAGGC
rnacentral:lncRNA from 1 species